GAAAUGCGAUAAGUAGUGUGAAUUGCAGAAUUCAGUGAAUCAUCGAAUCUUUGAACGCACAUUGCGCCCUUCGGUAUUCCGUUGGGCAUGCCUGUUCGAGCGUCAUUUAAACCUUCAAGCUCUGCUUGGUGUUGGGUGUUUGUUCUGCCUUUGUGCAUGGACUCGCCUUAAAUUCAUUGGCAGCCGGUAUGUUGGCUUCGUGCGCAGCACAUUGCAAGCGAGUCUAGCAUACCCACUUCCAUUAAGCUUCUUUUUAACUUUGACCUCGGAUCAGGUAGGGAUACCCGCUGAACUUAA
rnacentral:misc_RNA from 1 species